rnacentral:other from 1 species
GACACCCUGCAGUGUUCGAGGUGCCUUCAAUAACUGCUCUUUGCCUUUGUGAUCAUUUGGGAGCUGCUUUCACGCAGCGUGGAUGCCAGGCCGUAAACCGGAAGGCAGAAGCGCGGCGAGCGGCGCCCACCUUAAACUAAAAAGGACAUGAGCCUUUGGGCGCACGGCACAGGUGGGGUGUCA